CGCUCAUCUUAGCGAGGUACGUGUGGUAAUCAACAUGGCAUUUACUGCCUUUGCAGUCACACCACACUGUCCUGACCAGCGGCCUACCAUGACUGGCACAAGCAUGGUGUAGAUGUGGAGAAGAAAGACCCAGGGCUUCAGUUUGUGUAUCUGAUACAUCUGAAAGACUAAUCCUAUCUGAGCCAAGACCCUUGAAAUUCAUCCAAUUACUGGCAGAAGACAGCAGAGAAACACGAGGACUGAAGGGAUCUGAAGGGAUUUGCAGCACCAAACUGAUAAAGGAACCAGUGUGUAAAAUGGCUGAUGCAGAUAGAGCCGAGGGGAACCAAGAAGUAGAGUCUCUGGAUGAAGAGGUUGGUGAAGAGGACUCCUUGCUCCACGUUUCCCAAUACUGUGAAGCCCGGCGUGCCCUGCCAUGGGAGCAGUGGACUCUCAGAGAGAAGGUUGUUUAUUACAUGGACCGCCUCUUCCUUGGGUUUUUCGUCAUUUUUGUGUUGAUGCUCCUCGGAGAAGCCAGUUACAAGGUGUGGUAUGUGACAGAUGUAAAGAAGAUUGCAGGCUUUAUGUCAGAUACAGCGAUAUGGCUGUUUGGCUGGCUCUUCACCCAGGAGGAACAUGAGGAGAUGAUUGAAUUGUAGGUGCUGUAAAACAUAUGCUCAAGCAAACUGUUAAGGAUGAUCACUAGGUUAAACUGUUACCUCUUUCUGUUUUUUCUACAUCGUUUAAUGCCCAUGAGGUAUUAGAUUCCUGCUGAAGAAUUCAUAUUAAGAAGACAUACAUGUAUUAUUGAUUUCUGAAUUUCAAUUCUGAUUGUGAAUUGAUGAAAUAAAGUAAAAUCUGCAUUUAAUGUAAGUGUAUCAGCGUAGCCCAGGAAAGGCUGCUGUAAUCUGCUUUUAAUCAUCUCUUGUAUCCCCACCUUCUGGUCACUCUCUGACAGUGUCCUGGUUUAACAUUUAACCAACUGGUGUCACUGUGCUGCCAAAAAGUAAUCUAUCUGUCUAUCUGUCAACCUGUCUAUCUAUCUAUCCCACAGAACCUUGGUUUUCAACAAUGUCUUGAUAUAUGACCCUAUGCUGAGGCUGAAAUACUUACGCCACCUUCAUAUUUAUGGAAAUUGUCACAAGUUGUUACUCUGGCUGCGGUUAGUCUUAAAUGUACAGCAGACUGAGGAGACUCACUGUCAGGUGACAAAAAAUAGUCGCUUGAUAACCUGCUAGUGUCUGUCAUUUAUUUGUAGUUUCAAAACCAUAAUCAUAAUUAUUACAGUCAUUUUCAAAAGUUCCAAGGAUGCCAUUUUCCUGUCAGGACAGAUCACUACAGUCUAGAGCCUGCACAAUUAAGGCUCAGACUGCACUCUGAUAACUUCAGACUACACCACUGGAAGCAACAGUGUUUAGAACAGUUCAAAGAUGGACGUAAUCGUGUCUAUUCCAUAUUUAAUGAGGGUGAAAGUAA